rnacentral:tRNA from 1 species
AAGGCCUUAGCUUAAUUAAAGUGUCUGAGUUGCAUUCAGAGGAUGUGGGAUAAAAUCUUGCAGGUCUUA